UACGUACUGUGCGAACGUUAUUCGGAAUCACUGGGCUUAAAGGGUGCGUAGGCGGCGCGGAAAGUUGGGUGUGAAAUCCCUCGGCUCAACCGAGGAAUUGCGCCCAAAACUUCCGUGCUCGAGGAAGAUAGAGGUGAGCGGAACUUAGGGUGGAGCGGUGAAAUGCGUUGAUAUCCUAAGGAACACCGGUGGCGAAAGCGGCUCACUGGAUCUUUUCUGACGCUGAGGCACGAAAGCUAGGGUAGCGAACGGG
rnacentral:rRNA from 1 species